rnacentral:misc_RNA from 1 species
CUCGUUCACAAGUUCCAUGAUGGCCCUCUUCUCCUCCUCCCACUCUUCUGUCUUCUUCUCCUCAAGCCUAAAUAAUCCAGUUCUUCUCUCUGCCUCUAAAGAUUUCCCAUCAUCCUUCUUCUUCUGCAACAAAACUCCCUCUAAAACCCUUCAUAUCACAUUCAAAAACCCCACAACUGAAAAAUCCCUAAUCCCAUUCUCCUCCCUCUCAGAACCCACACCCGAACCAGAUAAUGAACCGACUCAAAAACCCAGUCCGGAUCCCAAUGCAAAUCCCACCCCAACUCCAAUCAGCAUCACUGAUGAGUGGGGCGAAAAGAUAGAACCCGAACCAGAACCUGAAUACCCGAAAGAUUCCGAUGCGGAUCCUCCGAAGGAUGAUGAUGAGUGGGAGGAGGAGUAUGUUGCUAUAGAAAAUGGCAGCGCUGCUAAGGGUACAGGCGUGGUGUUGGAAAAGGAUGAUAGAUUAGGGGACUUGAAAAGGUGUUUGGUUGAUACGGUUUAUGGCACGAAUUUCGGGUUUCAGGCCAGCUCGGAAGUUAGGGGCGAAGUUUUAGAGUUGGUUAAUCAGUUGGAAGCUGUGAACCCUAUUCAAGCACCCGUGGAUGCAACUGGGAUCCUCGAUGGCAACUGGGUUUUGUUGUAUACUGCAUUCUCUGAGUUGUUGCCACUUCUAGCAGUUGGUACAAUGCCAUUGUUGAAAGCUGAAAGUAUAUCCCAAGCAAUUGAUGCCAGCAAUCUCUCCAUUGUGAACUCCAUCACAUUGUCAAGCCCUUUUGCCACUUUCUCAUUCAGUGCAUCUGCCACAUUUGAAGUUCGAACUCCUUCAAGAAUACAGGUUGAAUUCAAGGAAGGCACCCUGCAACCUCCAGAGAUUAAGUCCAGCAUUGAUCUCCCAGCAAAUUUGGAUCUUUUUGGUCAGAAUAUCAAUUUGUCUCCUGUGCAGCAAUCUCUUAAUCCUUUGCAGGAGGUAGUGUCAAAUAUUUCAAGAACCAUUUCUGGUCAGCCACCACUUAAAGUUCCCAUUCCGGGUAAUCAGUCAAGGUCGUGGCUUCUUAUUACGUACCUCGAUAAGGAUUUACGUAUCUCUAGAGGGGAUGGUGGUCUUUUUGUUCUAGUUAAAGAAGGAAGUCCUCUUCUAGAUCAGUAGCCAUCUGCACAGUGCUAUCUGGGCAGCACUCACAAAUGGUCUUCAGUUUUUUCUUUUGACACCUACAUUCAAAAAAACCUUUUUCUCAUACAAUCUCAUAGAAAGUGAUAAUGAAGAUGCUUGUAGCUCUAUUUGUUGUAGUUGGUGGGCUGGGAACAGAGUAGAACAAUUUGAGAGCAUUACAG